rnacentral:rRNA from 1 species
CCUACGGGUGGCUGCAGUAGGGAAUAUUGCGCAAUGGAGGAAACUCUGACGCAGCGACGCCGCGUGGGUGAUGAAGGCUUUCGGGUCGUAAAGCCCUGUCACAAGGGACGAAAAACAAGAUUGAUAAUACCUUUCUUGCUUGACAGUACCUUGGAAGGAAGCACCGGCUAACUACGUGCCAGCAGCCGCGGUAAUACGUAGGGUGCAAGCGUUGUUCGGAAUCAUUGGGCGUAAAGCGCGUGUAGGUGGUUAGUUAAGUCGGGUGUGAAAGCCCU